AAUAAUCUAUAAAUUCUAUCUUAAAAAACCCAGCUGAUUAAAUAAAAUAUUCUGUUGAAAUGUAAAAGAAUUAACACAAUCACUUUAUGAAUUAAUAAAUUUAGUUUUUUCUUUUACAAACACAUUUGGUUAAUUUUAAUUUUGAUUUGAAUUCCUUGUGGAUAUAUCACUUUCUCUUUUAAUACUAUACAGUAUUAGUACAUGGAAAAGUGAAAGGCCUGUUUUAUAUAUGUAGAAAGGUGGUAUAUGAAGCUGUGAAGAUGUCUCAAAUUUAAAAAGAAAGCAUUUACACAGAAUGGGAGAAAAUAUUUGCAAACUACCCAUCUGACAAGUGAUUAAUAACCAGAAUAUAUAAAGUGCUCAAACAACUCAAUAGGAAAAAAAUCAAAUAAUCUAAUGAAAACAUGAAGAAAAUAUCUGACUAGACAUUUUUCAAAAGAAGACAAAUGGCCAACAGGAGAUCCUAAGAAAAAGCUUAUAUGUUCAGUGUGCAAUAAAAAGUGUUCUUCAGCAUCAAGCCUACAGGAACAUAGAAAGAUUCAUGAGAUAUUUGAUUGUCAAGAAUGUAUGAAGAAAUUUAUUUCAGCUAAUCAGCUAAAACGUCAUAUGAUCACCCACUCAGAAAAACGACCCUAUAAUUGCGAGAUUUGUAAUAAGUCUUUCAAGAGGCUCGAUCAAGUGGGUGCUCACAAAGUAAUACACAGCGAAGACAAACCUUACAAAUGCAAACUUUGUGGAAAGGGAUUUGCCCACAGAAAUGUUUACAAGAAUCAUAAGAAGACCCACUCUGAGGAGAGACCGUUCCAAUGUGAAGAAUGUAAAGCUUUGUUCCGGACCCCAUUUUCUUU
rnacentral:sRNA from 1 species